GAGUCAUCGAGGGCCCUGGCAGGGAGCGUUGCGCCAGGCGUGGCAGGGAGCCGGGGAGAGCCUGGCAGGAAGAGGCGCAGGAGGGAGGAGGAAGAGAGCUGGGAGGCCACGGGACGUGCUGGCCCCUCGGCAGACACAGGGGGCUUCCGCUGGAGAGAACGUGCCGAGAUGCCAGGCUCAGGCGGGUCUCUGAGCGGCCAGAUGGAGAAGUCCCAGAGGCCACCAUCGGGGCGGUCACCUGGCAGUUAGGAUGGCCAACGGCAGGCAAGGCUGUGGGCGGGGAGGCACCAGCUCUAGAUUUCCACCUCCCAACUGGGAGCCCCAGCCCUGCCGCUUGCUAACUGUGGGACUGCAGGCGAAUGGCUUCUCUCCACAUGCCCUACUUCUGCUUCUGUCAAGUAGGGUGAGGGUUCCUAACCUGUACAUUAACACAGGGAAGAGCUCCUGGUCCAAGGAAUCCCACAACAAACGGGGACUAUUGGACCAGGCGGGGUCUCGGCAGGAACACUGAAACACUAGGUUUCUAAGGGAGGGAAGUUAAUCCAGGGGCUGGCUAGAAGGAUUAGAAGAGCUGAGAAACUCCGUGGGGGAUGAGGCUGCAACCCAGAGAUCAGCAACAGCAGGAAGCUGGUGGCAUCCCCAAGCCUGGAGGCCGACAGGAGGAGGCCCAGGGUCCCUGGAGUCACACUGAGGGGGUGUGAGCCCUGGUUCUGCCGUUUUCCAGCUGUGGGGCCUGAGAGAAGACACUUCCCUUCCGAAAGCCUCGGUUUCCUCGACUACAGCACAAGGGCCUUGUCCUGAGUUUGCUGAGCUGCAGUGCGGACGGCAUGAAGCCUCACUCAGGGGGCAUGUGGCACCGGGAAAGCUUCAGGAUCAUCCCUGGGACUCGGGCCAAAGCCCUUGAAUUUUCAAACCAACCCUGAGGGGAAUGAAGGCUCCUCCAUGACUGCACAGCCACCCAGGGCCCCACUUGAUAAGGAGCAAAGAAGCCAGGACAGAUUCCUUUGGGCCCAGGCCCAGCCAGCCGAACUAUUCCUCCGGCAGAGGAAGGGAGCUUGGCUCCUCUCUCCCUGGCCUUGGGAGCUGGUGGCCAAAGAGGACUCCACCGGUCCCCAGCUGUGGGUGCCCCCGCCUAAGGCAGAGCUGCACAGAACUUAGAAGCCAACGUCUCCUUUCCCCAAGGGGAAGCUGAAGCCCAGGGAAGGCAGGGGGGCCUGCCCAGGGUCACCCAGCAAGCUGGAGGCCCAGCUGGGCUUGCAUCCAGGCUCAAUUUUCUUUCUACAUCUGAGAAGGUCACGGUGAGGCCCAGUAGUUCAAACACAGCUGAGCAGAAGUACUGGGGGUAGAGGAGGAGAGGACCCAAGAGUCUGUGAGUAGUGACCACCUUUACCCCCCAGUCCUCACCAUAACUAAGUUAAGCAGGGAACCAGUUUGCCCUAUCACCAACUCAUGGAGCUAACCAUAUUCACUCCGACUUAAAAAAAAUUUCUUUAAAUUUGUAAAGUCUUUAACAAUAUGCAGGAGAUGAAUCGGCAAGGCCUUGGAAGGACCCAGGGAAGACAGGGUCGGGGGCCCUCAGACUCCUCCACCUCUGGGAUCUGCAGCUCAGACUGGGGUGCAGCCCACUCUCCCCAGAGUCUUCAUUCCAGUUCCCUCCAGUGGCUACAUCAGGGAGGUGGGGUAGAGACAAUGGGAGCAUUCCUGAAAAUCCCAGACAUCUUCUAAAGCUAUAAAAACCAUCCCAUGCCUGUCGGCCUAUUUUCUCUUGCUUUCCGUUCUCCCCGCCUCCCCCACUCUCCCCUCUUUCCUUUCUUCCCCCUGCCUGCCUUCCUUUCUCAGUUCAUGCAGCUGAAGGUCACCAGGCAGGUGCCGGUGGGGCGAUGUGGUCGCCCUCGUGAGGCCAGAGUUAAAGUUGGGUGCGACCACAGCCUGGGGGGUCAGAGGACAGAGGACAGUAUGCAGGGGAUGGAGCAGUUGCAUCAUCCACCGUGGAUUAAAGGAGGCAGAUUUCUCAGUGACAAGGGAGGCAUGGAUUCCGAAAGGAGGACACUGAAGAACCCCAUGGUGCCGGGCUGGAAUUGGAGCUGUCAGUGAGAAUGCGUGGUUUAAAGUGUGUGUGUGCGUGCGUGUGUGUGUGUGUGUGUGUGUGUGUUUUCUCCAGCUCUGCUCAUCAAGGAGGUCUGGGAGUAGCAAUACACUGGUAGCAACAAGCACACCUAGCACCGAGAUCUUAUUUUCAAGAUAUCGUCCUCCCCCUAGACAGAUACCAAGCUCUAUGGAGGAAUGGCUGGCUCCCAGGCGGGGCCAGAGAAAGUACGAGAUGAGCCUGGUGUCACAAAGCGAAGGCGUGCCCAGAGAAUGAAGGGACGUGUCAAAAGGACGCAAGAGCGGCAGGGGCUUCUUCUGGCCAAACCUGGUGUGAUUCAAAUACCAAAAUAAAAGAGCAGUGGAUCAUAGUCCAUCAGAUAAACUAGGAAUCCAUGGGUCCACACUGCUGUGAACAAACAAAUGAAUAAAUGAGAAGAGAAUGCUUUUCCUUACGGUAGAAUGCCAAAUAAUAAGGGAAGAAGAAAACCACCUCUUGGCAACUGUGAUGAUGAUGGUGAUUUCAGGUAGGUGACAUCGAGGGACGCUAAAACUAGGGGCAUACGUGAAAUAGGGAGUGGAAUUUUUACAUAGUGCUAAAGUAUCUCCACCUGGAAGCUCGUUUGUACAAAAGUAGCACAAGACCUUGACGAUGGAGAAACCCAGUCAAAUGGUGAGUUGAUUGAAGUUAACACCACUGUGUCAACAAGCUGAUGUUGAAUGGCACCGGAGAGGGGCAGGGAGAGAGCACAGCGUCUCUCCUGUGGUGUCCCUGUCCCCAAAAUGCACGAUCCUGGCAUAAUUACCAGGAAACGCGGAUAAACCCAAAUCGAGCAACCUUCUGCAAAAUGACUGCCCUGUUCUCUUUAAAACAUUACGAGUGUGAAGCUCGAGGCAGGACAGAGCAACUGAAGAGGCAGGACGCGGGAUACUGGGCUGUGUCACUUUCUGUAGGUGACAUCACGGCAGCAACAGGUGAAACGUGAGUGGGGUGUCUGAUUGCCGGGCAAAUGGAGUUCUUCACACCGUUCUUGCACGUUCUCUGCAAUUUGAAGUAUCUUAAAAUUAUUUUUUAAUCCCGUGCAGCACAACUUUGUGAAAGUGUUAAAGGAGACUACUGUUGUGUAUCUGUAAGAAAAGGAGGAAGCAGAGGACACAUCUGCUGGUAUAGGGCUUGGGGUUAAUCGGGUGGCCCCGAAUACAAGUGAGCAAACAAAAGGAAGAUGAAUAAUCCCAGGAGAAACAGAAACACAGGGGCGCCUGGGUGGCUCAGUCGGUUAAGCGUCUGCCUUUGGCUCAGGUCAUGAUCUCAGGGUCCUGGGAUCAGGCCCCACGUUGGGCUUCCUGCUCGCAGGGAACCUGCUUCUCCCUCUCCUCCCUGUUCGCGCUGUCUCUUGCUCUCUUUCUCUCUCUCUCCUCUCUCUCAAAUACAUAAAUAAAAUCUUUAAAAAUUAAAAAAAAAGAAAGUAAAUGUAAUCAUAGUACUCCAUGUGUCUGGGCUGUCUAUAACAUUUAGAUUGUUACAAAAUAAACCCUGAAUAUUUAUCUAAUCCAAAAGUAUGAUAUGAUCAUCUAAGGAAGAUUUUACCAGGAGAAGCAUGAAAGGGGGUAUUGUACAUGAAGGAAACUCUUCUUUUCUAAAGUAGGAAGGCAGCAGAUUAAAUCUAAAACUGAAAAAUCAAUAAAUAAAAGGGGAUGGGGCGCCUGGCUGGCUCAGUCUUAAAGAAACAGAAAGUAUAAAAAAAAAGAAAUAAAAGGGGAUGGAAAGAACUCAUUAUAAUGAUUUGCAUCCUGCCUUUUUAAAGAUGAUUGUAUAUAUUAUGCAUUAAAUCCCUUUGUAUAUACAUUGAUAUUUUAUACAUUUUAUUCAAU